UUCAAUGGGAAAGGAUUUGGGCACCUAAUUGUUCUCCAUACUAACUUGCAUCUAAUGUUUCACUUUUUGGACCCAUUCCUCACCCCUGACUUCAGCACUACAUGGUAUUUCUAAUCUUCAGCCUCUUCAUGCUUCUGCACUGUAAAUCUUGUAUCUUUGCAGCUUUCUGUAGAUGAGCUGUAGGCAGUUGGUUUACAACCCUUCCUGCUCUAUUUUGUUUUGUUUUUUCCCAUCUGCUUGCCAUUGUUCCAAAUGUUAUAGAUAGCUCUCAUCUCUGAAUCCUUCUCUUUUUUAUUUGUCUGUUUCUACAUCUUUGUUUUAUUUGGGGCUCCAAAGGGGAACAGAGAAAUGAUGUAUGUUUAAUCUACUGUAUGCAGCUAGAACACAUACCUUCUCUGUCUUCUUUCUCUACCACUGUCAUCUAAAUCAAUAGUUCUUAAGAAAGGAUUUUCAUCAAAAUCACUUGGAAAAGUUUUCCACACCCUGUGAGAUCUGAACACUACAGUUUUAAAUAACUUAUCUAUUUGUAGGCACAUGUCUAGUAAAACACUACUGAGUCUGGUUAUCUGUUAGCUAAUUCAGGUCAUUAAUAAUAUGACUAUGGAUCUGAAGUGGUUUUACAUUUUAACACACAUUUCUGCAUGUACCAUUUCAUUUGAUACUCCAAAAAUCUGUUUUGCUUGCCUAUCUUACAGCUGUUAUCUCUCAUCCCUUCUUUCUUCAUAACAGAACCCCCAUUUAUUUCCAUAUGAUCAAAGAACGUGACCCUCUACAGUCCCUGCAAGUGAAUGAUCAUGGCUCAACUAAAUCACUCGUGGCCGUUCUCUGCUUCUCCAGUGAAUGUGUUAUGCAUGGAUGGAAGCAGAAUGCUGACAAACUUUUCCUGAUGAGCAGUUUUCUUAUUUUCUGACAUCAUGACAAUAACUGGUGAGGAAGGAAGAUGCAGUGUGCAGGAAACACAUCAAGGGACUUGAAAGCUGCUUCCACCUGCUUCCGUCUUUACUGGAAAUCCUCAUGAGCCUCAGUGAAGGCUGGAUCCAUUUAAGACUGCCUUUUUUUCCUUUUUUCUGGGCUAUGUGAACUAUGAUUGCAAUUAGAUUGGAGAUCAACAUUGUAAGUGGGUGAGAGCUAAUGGUUACCAGGUAUAAACACUCACAAGAUAGGCUAAAACUAACAGUUUUCAUGUAAUCAGCUCCAUGCAGCAGCCACCUCGGGCUGUAGUUCUGAGUAUGGGACAUCUGGAGCUGCACUUUAAUUGCUGGUUGUAAUAGUUGCACAGCUGUUUGUAACAUUUCUGGCUAUGUUAAUCAUGGCUGCAGUCAUGCUUAUCGGAAAGCUACACUGGAGAGGCCAAUGCAUGAGUAUCGACAGUUGUUGACUUAGAAAGUCACAUCGUAUAUUUCCUUACUGAGCAUCAUACAAAGAAAAAUCAAAAGUUCAAAAAGAAUAAAGUUUAAUAAAAAUCUCA
rnacentral:lncRNA from 1 species